UAUUUAAUUGCAGGGGUUCAUGUGGCACCACAUGGCUGGGAUCCGGGAUGUACCUCCGCAGUAGUGAGACAUGGAAGACGUCGUGUACGCCCGAUAGCUCCGGGGGUAGGGCCAAUUUGUAGGCAACCUUGCCUAUCCUGGCAAGAAUCUCGAAUGGGCCGAUGUAGCGGGGACUUAGCUUGCCGUGUCUUCCGAAUCGGGU
rnacentral:lncRNA from 1 species